UGGGGAAUAUUGCACAAUGGGCGCAAGCCUGAUGCAGCCAUGCCGCGUGUAUGAAGAAGGCCUUCGGGUUGUAAAGUACUUUCAGCGGGGAGGAAGGGAGUAAAGUUAAUACCUUUAUUCAUUGACGUUACCCGCAGAAGAAGCACCGGCUAACUCCGUGCCAGCAGCCGCGGUAAUACGGAGGGUGCAAGCGUUAAUCGGAAUUACUGGGCGUAAAGCGCACGCAGGCGGUUUGUUAAGUCAGAUGUGAAAUCCCCGGGCUCAACCUGGGAACUGCAUCUGAUACUGGCAGGCUUGAGUCUCGUAGAGGGGGGUAGAAUUCCAGGUGUAGCGGUGAAAUGCGUAGAGAUCUGGAGGAAUACCGGUGGCGAAGGCGGCCCCCUGGACGAAGACUGACGCUCAGGUGCGAAAGCGUGGGGAGCAAACAGG
rnacentral:rRNA from 1 species